rnacentral:rRNA from 1 species
GUCGAGAAUCUUUCACAAUGGGGGAAACCCUGAUGGAGCGACGCCGCGUGGAGGAUAAGGUCUUCGGAUUGUAAACUCCUGUCAUGCGUGAACAAGGUUGCUUGGUUAAUACCUGGGCAAAUUGAUGGUAACGCAAGAGGAAGAGACGGCUAACUCUGUGCCAGCAGCCGCGGUAAUACAGAGGUCUCAAGCGUUGUUCGGAAUCACUGGGCGUAAAGGGUGCGUAGGUGGCGUGGCAAGUCAGAUGUGAAAGCCCGGGGCUCAACCUCUGAACUGCAUCCGAUACUGCCAUGCUAGAGUACUGGAGGGGUGACUAGAAUUCUCGGUGUAGCAGUGAAAUGCGUAGAUAUCGAGAGGAAUACCAAAGGCGUAGGCAGGUCACUGGACAGUUACUGACACUGAGGCACGAAGGCCAGGGGAGCGAACGGGAUUAGAUACCCUGGUAGUCC